rnacentral:tRNA from 1 species
GACCGUGUGCCCGAGUGGUUGAGGGGCUCGCCUGCAAAGCGAGUUACGUCGGUUCAAUUCCGAUCACGGUCUC